GAAAGUAUAGCUCAGUGGUAAAGUACAUGCCUAGCAUGCACAAAGUCCUGGCUUCAACCCCCAGUACUUCCA
rnacentral:tRNA from 1 species